GUAUUCUGAUUAUGAGGGUAUGAAGAGACCCGCCCUAUUGCCUGUCCCAACAUGUCCUGACUUGCCCCAUCACUUGCCCCACCGCCUGACUUGCCCCGACAAGUUCCGAGAAUAACCCGCCCACUUCCCGUUAGCACACCCAAUUCUCGGAAUCUAAAGAACAAGGAAAUAGUCCAACAAUAAGAUGUGGCAAUCCGCGCAAAAUACCCCUCCCAGCUUAUGGCCUCACAUGAAUUAACCAAUCCACAAUUCUGCUUCUGUACAACCCGCUUUCCCGCUCUCCAAACUAUAUAUAAGCAAGAUCAUCCUUGGCGGCGCGCUUCUCUUGUCUUCGGACAUUAGAGACGCCCGUGGCCCACGCAAUAAAACCUCUGCAUCUUGCAUCCGUACGGUCUCGGCCGGUCAUUGGGGGAAGGUGCGUCGAGUCGGACCUUACAGGUCUUGCUAAGCCGUCCAUGCUGGGCUCAAACUUGCGGUCCUCCUACCUCAACCUCCUGGAUUGCUGGGAUAACAGGCAUGUACCUUCCUCUUUUUAAACAUAGGUGCUAUAACUACACAUUUCUAUCUAAACAGUGCUAUCAGUACAUUGCACAGGUUUUCUAUGAUGUUUUUGUUUUUCUUCAUCUCAGAGCAUUUCCUCUUUUCCCUAUAAUUUUAUUUUUGGUCCUGUGGUUAUUCAGGACUGUGAUAUUUAAUGACCACAAAUUUGCAAAACUUUUAGCUUUUAAAAUUACUUAUUUUAUUUCCAUACCUUAAAAUUUGUUAUGGUUUGUCUGAAAGAAUUUUCCAUCUACACGUGAGAAGCAAAAAAGAAAGACUGAAUGGGUCAGGGUACCCAGAUUGCCUUCAGGGGUACAGCUCCAGUGGCCUAAGGAGCUCCCCAGGACCCCACCUCCUAGAUCCCACCCCUCCCAAAGGUGCAGCCCUGGGGACCAAGCCUCUAAUGCAUGGACUUUUUUUCUUUUUAUUAUUACCUUUUUGUUAUAUUUGGCAAUAUAUAAUGAAUGCCUUCAUUGUGGGGAGUUGGUACGUAUACAUACAGUAUUUUAGUCCUUCUAGCAUCCUCUUCUCCUUCCCUCCUCUCCUCUCUCUCCAUCCCUGGAUCCCUUUCCCACCUGCAAAAGUUCAACCUCCCUAAUUCCUAGCACCUAUCUUUUGCUGUGAUCUAGAUCAUUUACACUUUUGGUUUCUCAUGUAAGAGAAACCAUGAGAUGUUUAAUAUUUUGUGUCUGAUUUAUUUUGCUUAGCAUUACGAUCUCAAAGUGCAUCUGUCGUCCUACAAAUGUCUUCAGUUUGUCUUUCUUUAUGGCUGAGUAGUGCUCAAUUGCAGCAUGUGGAUUUUUGAGAGACAUUUGUCCAAACCAUAGCAGCUCUUGGUAUGCAAUGAGCACUUUUAGUCUCUUGCUGUUUUCAAGAUUCUUUUGAAGAGACCCGCCCUAUUGCCUGUCCCAACAUGUCCUGACUUGCCCCAUCACUUGCCCCACCGCCUGACUUGCCCCGACAAGUUCCGAGAAUAACCCGCCCACUUCCCGUUAGCACACCCAAUUCUCGGAAUCUAAAGAACAAGGAAAUAGUCCAACAAUAAGAUGUGGCAAUCCGCGCAAAAUACCCCUCCCAGCUUAUGGCCUCACAUGAAUUAACCAAUCCGCAAUUCUGCUUCUGUACAACCCGCUUUCCCGCUCUCCAAACUAUAUAUAAGCAAGAUCAUCCUUGGCGGGGCGCUUCUCUUGUCUUCGGACAUUAGAGACGCCCGUGGCCCACGCAAUAAAACCUCUGCAUCUUGCAUCCGUACGGUCUCGGCUGGUCAUUGGGGGAAGGUGCGUCGAGUCGGACCUUACAUUUGGGGGCUCGUCCGGGAUCGACGAGACUUCCCCCACGGACCCCGACAACCGGGACGGGAGGUAAGCGGUCCGCUAAUACGUGUCAUUUUGUGUUUUUUUGUUAUGUUAUUAUAAUUUGGGAGAAACGGAGAGAGCUGACGGGCUUAUCUCCGCCUCCAUUUGGUCCUGGGAGACGUCCUGGACAUUUGGAGAAGUCACCCUGUUUAAGGGCGAAUUCUCGUUUGGAGAGAUCACCCUGACUAAGGGUGAUAUCUCGUUUGGAGAGAUCACCCCGGUUAAAGGUGAAAUCUCGUUUGUGCUGUGGGUUAUCUGAUAAUCCACGGCGUUAGUCUUGGAAAUUUGUGGCGCCUAUUUUGUUGUGAGUCCUUGUAUAUCGUCUGUCUGUCUUGUCAGUGUCUCGUCUGUUGAGUGUUAAACUAAAUUUGUUCCUAGGGUCAAGAUGGGAGAAUCCAGAUCCAAGAACACCCCACUGGACUGUUUUCUCACUAAUUUUAAAUUGGCUUUACCCCUGAGCAGGAAAAUAAAUACGGAGUCAAAUUCUCCCACGAGAAGGAAGGAGCUAUCUGGCACAGCCCAUGUUGGGCCUUGACCUGAGUCCCACCAGAGAGAGUGACUGUCUGCCUCCUCGGAAGGGAAGAGGUGCACCCCUAGGAUUUCCUGGGUUCCCUUUCUAGGAUGCGGAGGCCAGCUCGCCGGUAGCCCAGCUCGCCAGUAACAGAAAAGAAAAAAAAAA